CCUGGAGCCCUGUCCUGGGGGAAUCUGGUCCGACCUCACAUGGCCAGCAGUGACCACCCCAGGGCCUGUGCAGGAGGGGACGUUCACAGAUAAACUGGAGGCACCUGUGCCUGGAGAAGCCUGAGGGAAAACUGCUAUGGCCUGUCCUUGGGAGAGGCCGAGGCUCCCAGGUGUGCCUGGAGGGGCCGUCCUGGGAGCAGGACAGCAAGGAUUGUCCAUGAGGUGUCAGGGCGGUGCUAGGACACCUUGGGCUAUGUCUGGGAGCUGGGACCUGUCACUGGUGCCAUGAGUGGAGACCAAAGGAGCCCCUCAGCCUGGUGAGGGCUCAGGCCAGGACUCACAUUCCCAUUCCCAGCAGAACAGGCUCUGCGUGAGGCGGGAUGCUGGAGGACACACUGGGGCCCACUCGACCAACACUCUGAGGAGCAUUUCAGGUGCUUUUCCUAAAGCUGAAUUCUCUGUAAAGGAGAAGUGACUAGAAACUGGCUUAACUUUGUUAAGGCACAGUGACACACUGAGGCUGCUCCACUUAAGGUAUGGUAUGAACCAGGAGCUGUGGAAUGUGUUCACAUGGAUCAUCCUGCCUGUGGAAUGAGUGGCCACAUGGAUCAUCCUGCUGCAGCUGCUGUGUAAGCAAGGCCUAAAAGACAAUCCUCGCCCUUGUGACUGUGUGGCAGAUAAGACAGACAAUGGGCACGAGGAAGACCCCCAGCUAUCAGGGAAGGAUGGAUACUGUUCAACCAGCCGGGAACAAAGAAACCUGGGCUGCUCAAGGCCCUGCAGGACUGUCCAGGAGUGUCCUUCCCUGCCUGCUGCUUCCAGGAACGUGACACUUUGGAACUGUUUGUGUCAGGGCUCCCUGCUUUGACACCUUUGAUUUCUGAGACUGCCUCAUUUCAGGAAACCCCAGAGCUCCUCUCCACAAGGAUUUCUGCAUCCAGCGGCUCUCAUGUCUUCACUGGAUACUGAAAUGAGAUGGAAGGGCUUGAAUGUUUCCUUGGCAAGACGGGUGGAUGGAAUUAGUUUAAUCUGUUCCGAUUUUGGUUCUACCAAGUCAACUGGACCCAAUCACCUCCUCUGCUAAAAGGCUGCAGAGCAACAACCCACUGGAAUAUUCCUUGUGCUGAAAACAGGAAGAUCUGGAACGAGGGUUUGUAACUUUUUUGGAUGAGUUUCUAUGUUACGAUUUUUACCUUUAGUAUCACCACUUUAAAUAAGAAUAUUUAUAUGUUGAAAUAAAUGCCUUUUUUUUUUUUUUUUUUGCCCUGAAAUACUGGAAUAUGCCUCCACAGCUUCUUCCUACCUCAGCUCUGCCCCUGUGAAGAGAACCCACUUGUGGAUUUCAAAGUCAGAAGGACAAGCUGGAACCUCUAAGAGAGGAUGUGCACAGAGCAAUUCCUGCAAUUCCUCCUGCAGCCAGGGCCCUGAUGAGCGGAUCUUUUUCUUACCUGCUCCAGGAACUCCUGUAUAAAUGUCUGACAAGCUCUUCCAGGGCUUUAUAACUUUGUGUCUCGUUCCUUAAGGCAAGCUGCACGUUGCCUGCUUAUCCCGUUCCGUCUUGUACGGCCCCUGUGGAUGGAAGCCCUUCCUGUGUGUGACUGCACGUGGUGGAGGGGAGAGCACGGGGGGUUGGUGCUAUUUUUGUCUGAUGUGUUCCCAAAGCAGCUCUCCCAGUUGCCACACUGCCUGUCAGGGUGGAGGGCUGGUGCAGCAGAGGUCUGUAGGGACACUUGGUACAGGGCCAGGGGGGUCACAUGCAGGAUCCUUGUGCACAUCCUGCAGUGGGAUCCAGCCCUGCUGGUCCCUCUUUCUUUCAGGACACUCUCAGCAGACCCCUGAAUCCAUUUCUCGGUGCCCAGGCCAGGCCACCAAGACUUCCAAGAACAGAUCUGACUGGUUUUAGUUUUCUUUCUUUUUAAGGUUCAGCGUCACUGAGCACCUCCAAUUUAGCUUGAAAAAUAAAAUACCUAAAAUAAAGGUGUUUGUUUGAAAAGCACGUGCAGGUAAUCAUGGAGUUUUUUCAAGCUCAGCCUCAGGUGAUGCCAUCAGCUUCUACUGCAGUUAAGCACUGCCCCAGACUUCCUUCAAGCUGCCAUUCCCAGUCUGUGCAAAGCAGUAUGAACAUUAAAACAGGCCCUGCUGAAAUAAAACACCCUGGUAGUACUUGCAUGAACACACAGUUUCCCUGAAAAACAGGUAACAAGCACAUGAACUACACCUGAGCCACCAUCUGAGCUGCCUUUCACAUCUGUGGAAGGUGCAGAGCAUCCAGAUUAGCAAUAGUGUUACCCCAGCCCACAGAAAACAGACCCGAGGCAGCAAAGAGCAGAGAGUGCAGGGUGAGAUCCCAAAGGGGAAAAGAAA